AGCGAACGCUGGCGGCAGGCCUAACACAUGCAAGUCGAACGGAUCCUUCGGGAUUAGUGGCGGACGGGUGAGUAACACGUGGGAACGUGCCUUUUGGUUCGGAACAACUCAGGGAAACUUGAGCUAAUACCGGAUGUGCCCUUCGGGGGAAAGAUUUAUCGCUAUUAGAGCGGCCCGCGUCUGAUUAGCUAGUUGGUGGGGUAAAGGCCUACCAAGGCUACGAUCAGUAGCUGGUCUGAGAGGAUGAUCAGCCACAUUGGGACUGAGACACGGCCCAAACUCCUACGGGAGGCAGCAGUGGGGAAUCUUGCGCAAUGGGCGAAAGCCUGACGCAGCCAUGCCGCGUGAAUGAUGAAGGUCUUAGGAUUGUAAAAUUCUUUCACCGGGGACGAU
rnacentral:rRNA from 1 species